rnacentral:tRNA from 1 species
CAGAUUGAAGCCCGCUGGAUUGGGUGCUUAGCUGUUAACUAAGAGUUUACGGGAUCGAGGCCCGUCUAUCUAG